GAGGAAAGUCCGGGCUCCAUAGGGCAGGGUGCCAGGUAACGCCUGGGGGGGAAACCCACGACCAGUGCAACAGAGAGCAAACCGCCGAUGGCCCGCGCAAGCGGGAUCAGGUAAGGGUGAAAGGGUGCGGUAAGAGCGCACCGCGCGGCUGGUAACAGUCCGUGGCAUGGUAAACUCCACCCGGAGCAAGGCCAAAUAGGGGUUCAUAAGGUACGGCCCGUACUGAACCCGGGUAGGCUGCUUGAGCCAGUGAGCGAUUGCUGGCCUAGAUGAAUGACUGUCCACGACAGAACCC
rnacentral:RNase_P_RNA from 1 species